GAGGAGUGGCGAACGGGUGAGUAACACGUGGGUAACCUGCCCAUCAGAAGGGGAUAACACUUGGAAACAGGUGCUAAUACCGUAUAACAAUCGAAACCGCAUGGUUUUGAUUUGAAAGGCGCUUUCGGGUGUCGCUGAUGGAUGGACCCGCGGUGCAUUAGCUAGUUGGUGAGGUAACGGCUCACCAAGGCCACGAUGCAUAGCCGACCUGAGAGGGUGAUCGGCCACAUUGGGACUGAGACACGGCCCAAACUCCUACGGGAGGCAGCAGUAGGGAAUCUUCGGCAAUGGACGAAAGUCUGACCGAGCAACGCCGCGUGAGUGAAGAAGGUUUUCGGAUCGUAAAACUCUGUUGUUAGAGAAGAACAAGGAUGAGAGUAACUGUUCAUCCCUUGACGGUAUCUAACCAGAAAGCCACGGCUAACUACGUGCCAGCAGCCGCGGUAAUACGUAGGUGGCAAGCGUUGUCCGGAUUUAUUGGGCGUAAAGCGAGCGCAGGCGGUUUCUUAAGUCUGAUGUGAAAGCCCCCGGCUCAACCGGGGAGGGUCAUUGGAAACUGGGAGACUUGAGUGCAGAAGAGGAGAGUGGAAUUCCAUGUGUAGCGGUGAAAUGCGUAGAUAUAUGGAGGAACACCAGUGGCGAAGGCGGCUCUCUGGUCUGUAACUGACGCUGAGGCUCGAAAGCGUGGGAGCAAC
rnacentral:rRNA from 1 species